GACGAACGCUGGCGGCGUGCUAAUACAUGCAAGUCGAGCGCAGGAAAUCGACGGAACCCUUCGGGGGGAAGUCGACGGAAUGAGCGGCGGACGGGUGAGUAACACGUAAAGAACCUGCCCUCAGGUCUGGGAUAACCACGAGAAAUCGGGGCUAAUACCGGAUGGGUCAUCGGACCGCAUGGUCCGAGGAUGAAAGGCGCUUCGGCGUCGCCUGGGGAUGGCUUUGCGGUGCAUUAGCUAGUUGGUGGGGUAAUGGCCCACCAAGGCGACGAUGCAUAGCCGACCUGAGAGGGUGAUCGGCCACACUGGGACUGAGACACGGCCCAGACUCCUACGGGAGGCAGCAGUAGGGAAUCUUCCACAAUGGACGAAAGUCUGAUGGAGCAACGCCGCGUGAACGAUGAAGGCCUUCGGGUCGUAAAGUUCUGUUGUAAGGGAAGAACAAGUGCCGCAGCAAUGCGCACCUGACGGACC
rnacentral:rRNA from 1 species